GAUGAACGCUGGCGGCGUGCUUAGCACAUGCAAGUCGAACGGAAAGGCCCAAGCUUGCUUGGGUACUCGAGUGGCGAACGGGUGAGUAACACGUGGGUGAUCUGCCCUGCACUUCGGGAUAAGCCUGGGAAACUGGGUCUAAUACCGGAUAGGACGAUGGUUUGGAUGCCAUUGUGGAAAGUUUUUUCGGUGUGGGAUGAGCUCGCGGCCUAUCAGCUUGUUGGUGGGGUAAUGGCCUACCAAGGCGUCGACGGGUAGCCGGCCUGAGAGGGUGUGCGGCCACAUUGGGACUGAGAUACGGCCCAGACUCCUACGGGAGGCAGCAGUGGGGAAUAUUGCACAAUGGGCGCAAGCCUGAUGCAGCGACGCCGCGUGGGGGAUGACGGCCUUCGGGUUGUAAACUCCUUUCGCUAGGGACGAAGCGUUUUUGUGACGGUACCUGGAGAAGAAGCACCGGCUAACUACGUG
rnacentral:rRNA from 1 species